UUGUCAUCAGUGAGCAGAACUACUCCCUGUCUGACUGAUUAUAUGUACCCCACAGAUAAUGAUGGUGAUGAGCACAGUGAAGGAGAGAGUAAAACCUCAUCACACGAAUGACCUGGACAGGGAAUUCGAUAUUUUCAUACAAGCUCACAUAAAAGAACUGAGCCAAUUAAAGCAGAAGCCACAGGAAAGGAGAGAUGCCUCUGUCUUAUUCCACCAGCAUCUCAAGGAUCUGCUCACAUGGGACAGCCCUGAGAGCUGCCAGAACCAGGGCCUCCGGGAUCCACUGUCUCAAGGACAUAAUUUGGCAGAGCACCGUGCCUACAAGCUCAGCCAAGUGUCAGUAGUGAGCACCAGGUGAAGAAAGCAAAUGAAGUCCUAUUGUAUUCAUCAGAGUUGUGGUUGUACACUCCCUUUCUACUGAGCCUAAGGGUGAUGCUCAUAAAUGCUCACACACCAGCAACCAGGAGUGUUGAGUCACUGACCACCUGCUAAUGAAAGGAGAGCUGCAAACAAGGAAGUGGAAACCAUCACGCAGAUACCGGGCAUUCCAAUCUAGGAU